UACGUAGGGACCAAGCGUUGUUCGGAUUUACUGGGCGCAAAGGGCGCGUAGGCGGCAAUUCAAGUCAGCUGUGAAAUCUCCGGGCUUAACUCGGAACGGUCAGCUGAUACUGCUUUGCUAGAGUGCAGAAGGGGCAAUCGGAAUUCUUGGUGUAGCGGUGAAAUGCGUAGAUAUCAAGAGGAACACCUGAGGUGAAGACGGGUUGCUGGGCUGACACUGACGCUGAGGCGCGAAAGCUAGGGUAGCAAACGGG
rnacentral:rRNA from 1 species